rnacentral:rRNA from 1 species
AUUGAACGCUGGCGGCAGGCUUAACACAUGCAAGUCGAGCGGGGGAAGGUAGCUUGCUACCGGACCUAGCGGCGGACGGGUGAGUAAUGCUUAGGAAUCUGCCUAUUAGUGGGGGACAACAUCUCGAAAGGGAUGCUAAUACCGCAUACGUCCUACGGGAGAAAGCAGGGGAUCUUCGGACCUUGCGCUAAUAGAUGAGCCUAAGUCGGAUUGGCUAGUUGGUGGGGUAAAGGCCUACCAAGGCGACGAUCUGUAGCGGGUCUGAGAGGAUGAUCCGCCAAACUGGGACUGCGAAACGGCCCAGACUCCUACGGGAGGCAGCAGUGGGGAAUAUUGGACAAUGGGGGGAACCCUGGUCCAGCCAUGCCGCGUGUGUGAAGAAGGCCUUAUGGUUGUAAAGCACUUUAAGCGAGGAGGAGGCUACUUUAGUUAAUACCUAGAGAUAGUGGACGUUACUCGCAGAAUAAGCACCGGCUAACUCUGUGCCAGCAGCCGCGGUAA